rnacentral:rRNA from 1 species
UACGUAGGGGGCAAGCGUUGUCCGGAAUCAUUGGGCGUAAAGCGCGCGUAGGCGGCCCGGUAAGUCCGUUGUGAAAGUCAAAGGCUCAACCUUUGAACGCCGAUGGAUACUGCCGGGCUAGAGUCCGGAAGAGGCGAGUGGAAUUCCUGGUGUAGCGGUGGAAUGCGCAGAUAUCAGGAGGAACACCAAUGGCGAAGGCAGCUCGCUGGGACGGUACUGACGCUGAGGCGCGAAAGCGUGGGGAGCGAACAGG